rnacentral:tRNA from 1 species
GGGGUUGUGGUUCAGUGGCAGAGCACUUGCCUGGCAUGUGUGAGGCACUGGGUUUGAUUCUCAGCACCACUU